rnacentral:rRNA from 1 species
GAUGAACGCUGGCGGCGUGCCUAAUACAUGCAAGUCGAACGAACAGACCCUGCUCUUGCGGCUUUGUCGUUAGCCGCACGCGUGUGUGUAACACGUGUAUACCCUACCUAUCAUACUGAGAUAACUUCGGAACACCGGCGAUUAUACCGGAUAAUCUCUUGAACCGCGUGGUUGAAUGGUGAGAUACGGUUUUGCUGGCAGUACUAGCUGCAUACGCGCUGCAUUAGCUAGUUGGUAAGGUAAAGGCCUACCAAGGCUACGAUGCGUAGCCGACCUGAGAGGGUGAUCGGCCACACUGGAACGGAGACACGGUCGAGACUCCUACGGGAGGCAGCAGUAGGGAAUCUGCCGCAAUGGGCGAAAGCCUGACGGAGCAACGCCGCGUGAGUGAUGAAGGUCUUCGGAGCGUAAAACUCUGUUAUUAGGGAAGAACAAAUGUGUAAGUAACUAUGCACGUCUUGACGGUACCUAAUCAGAAAGCCACGGCUAACUACGUG